AAAUUGAAGAGUUUGAUCAUGGCUCAGAUUGAACGCUGGCGGCAGGCCUAACACAUGCAAGUCGAACGGUAACAGGAAGCAGCUUGCUGCUUCGCUGACGAGUGGCGGACGGGUGAGUAAUGUCUGGGAAACUGCCUGAUGGAGGGGGAUAACUACUGGAAACGGUGGCUAAUACCGCAUAACGUCGCAAGACCAAAGAGGGGGACCUUCGGGCCUCUUGCCAUCAGAUGUGCCCAGAUGGGAUUAGCUA
rnacentral:rRNA from 5 species